rnacentral:lncRNA from 1 species
CCCGGCUACUGGGAGGCUAGGGCUGCUGUUCCCGUUGUAGCGUUUCUCGCCAAUCAGGAAGGUGAGGGAGUGGGCGGGGCAGGGAAGGGGUGGGCCGAGCUCGCAGCACCGCCGGGCGCCCGUCGGGCUCUGGGAGAGAGAAAUCCGGUUAGAAUCGGAGUCGGAGGGAGGUUUAACUACAGCUCGGUUCCCUUCGGAUUAUUCUUUAAAGGGGACGCGCCAUUGUCAAGAGGACGGAGCCCGGGGCCCGAGGGCGGGGACCGGCGGCGCCUAGAGCGAGGCAGUUGCACUUGGACCGGGCACGGCCUUCAGCAUUCCAUGACUGGCUUGCUGCAUGGAGAAUCAGGACUGCUUUGCUCCCGUGUGGCCACUUGAAUGCCUGUAAAUUAGCAGCUCCAGACUGAAAAAAGCUUCUAGAUGGAUCCUUCCCAAAUUUGGUGUCUUUUCUAUGGACUAUGUGCCUCCACAACCAUUUCUCAGUGGUAAGGACGUGUGCUUUCUGUCUCUGACUAGGAAUUUGUAAGACAAUGUUUGGAUUGCCUUCUCCUAUUCUAAUCCUUCUCUUUUCACAUACAAGUUAAUAUUUGCACUUGAAAAACUUUUAGUGCCUCUUUGCCCUACGUGAAGUUUGCGGUCACCCCGGGGAGUGGGUACAUGCACAUGUACACGGAACAGCUUGAUUCCCUUUUGUAGUCGCCUUCCCACCACGCUGCCGCGAAAUCCCCUUUCCCC